UACGUAGGGGGCAAGCGUUGUCCGGAAUCAUUGGGCGUAAAGAGCGUGUAGGCGGCUUGGUAAGUCCGUUGUGAAAGCCCCGAGCUCAACUUGGGAAUUGCAGUGGAUACUGGCAGGCUGGAGUACGGUAGAGGAAGGUGGAAUUCCCGGUGUAGCAGUGAAAUGCGUAGAUAUCGGGAGGAACACCAGUGGCGAAGGCGGCCUUCUGGACCAGUACUGACGCUCAUGCACGAAAGCGUGGGGAGCAAACAGG
rnacentral:rRNA from 1 species